rnacentral:rRNA from 1 species
AUACGGAGGGUGCAAGCGUUACUCGGAAUCACUGGGCGUAAAGCGCGCGCAGGCGGCUUGAUAAGUUGGAUGUGAAAACCUACGGCUCAACCGUAGAACUGCAUCCAAAACUGUCAGGCUAGAGUGUGGGAGAGGAAGAUGGAAUUAGUUGUGUAGGGGUAAAAUCCGUAGAGAUAACUAGGAAUACCAAAAGCGAAGGCAAUCUUCUGGAACACUACUGACGCUGAGGCGCGAAGGCGUGGGGAGCAAACAGGAUUAGAAACCCCAGUAGUCC